GAAUCUUGCACAAUGGGGGAAACCCUGAUGCAGCGACGCCGCGUGGAGGAUGAAGGAUCUAGGUCUGUAAACUCCUUUUUCAUGGAAAGACUUAGGACGGUACCAUGAGAAUAAGGACCGGCUAACUACGUGCCAGCAGCCGCGGUAAGACGUAGGGUCCAAGCGUUGUCCGGAUUUACUGGGCGUAAAGAGCGCGUAGGCGGCUCGUUAAGUGUGGUGUGAAAUCUCCAGGGCUCAACCCGGAAACUGCACCGCAUACUGGCGAGCUUGAGGAAUGCAGAGGUAACUGGAAUUCCUGGUGUAGCGGUGAAAUGCGUUGAUAUCAGGAGGAACACCCAUGGCGAAGGCAGGUUACUGGGCAUUAUCUGACGCUGAGGCGCGAAAGCGUGGGUAGCAAACAGG
rnacentral:rRNA from 1 species